rnacentral:rRNA from 1 species
AUGGUGCGAGAUUGCUGUCUAGCUCUCUCUUCUUGCUCUGCAGUCUGCACUCUGCACGGAGCUCAAGAAAUAGCAAAGGUGGCUAGUGUGGUGAUCAAUGGCUGCUCCUUCCGGUCCCGGUCAGGAACCAUCGGCGGGGAAGCAGUUCAGCUACCAGCUCGCCGCUGCUGUGAGGAGCAUCAACUGGACGUAUGCCAUUUUCUGGUCCAUCUCCACGAGCCCAGCGGGAGUUCUGGCGUGGAAGGAAGGAUUCUACAAUGGCGAGAUAAAGACGAGAAAGAUCACCAGCUCAACCAGCAACCUCGUCCUGUAGAGGCAGAGAAGCCAGCAACUGAGGGAGCUCUACGAGUCGCUCUUGUCCGGCGGCAACUCCGACCGCCGGGCAAUGCGUCCGGUCGCCUCGCUCUCGCCGGAGGAUCUCGGUGA